UACGUAGGGGCCUAGCGUUGUCCGGAUUUAUUGGGCGUAAAGAGCGUGUAGGCGGCCAGGUAGGUCUGGUGUGAAAACUCGAGGCUUAACCUUGAGAUGUCAUCGGAAACCAUUUGGCUAGAGUCCGGAAGAGGAAAGUGGAAUUCCUGGUGUAGCGGUGAAAUGCGCAGAUAUCAGGAAGAACACCAAUGGCGAAAGCAGCUUUCUGGGACGGUACUGACGCUGAGACGCGAAAGCGUGGGUAGCAAACAGG
rnacentral:rRNA from 1 species